CUAUUUCACAUCCGGUUUGCGCUGGGACGUAUUACUACUGUCUUGGUACAGAGAAAUCUUUUGUUGUAUAGCUGCAGAUUGGAUAUUGGGAAGCAAAUUUGGGUAUGAAAUCUCCAGUGCAGGAGCACGCAGAGUCCAUGAUGCCUCAGACCGUGUGAGUGAGCGCGGCGCGAGGACGCCCUCCGCCCGGCGCGCCCGCGCUCGCAGACUCGCGCAGCUCCGACUCACCGCGAUCCUCUCUCCCACACUUUUCUCCCGGGUCUGGAGCGAUCCGGUGCCCAGAGGGGGCCCCGAGGGGGGAAGAAAAUUGUCCAUGGAUGAAUUCAUGACUAAGGGAAUUCAGAAAACUUUACUGCAAUAAAAUUUCAGCUAAGACUAAAGAAGAAUAGAACAUGAAAAUAACUUUCUUGUUUGGAUGCUCACGAGAAUACACUUAACAAGCUUUACUUUUAAAUUUAAACUAGGAAAUGUAUGAAUUCAACUCUUAAGUCUGAAACAACUUUUUAGUUUUCAUUUGUAACUGAGCAAAAAAUAUAUAAUUUCCUAAUUUAUGGGAAAAGUUACUAGAUAGUUAUAAGUUAAGUUUUCAAUAGGAAAUUUUCUAACUAUUUGCAAAAUCAUAGAGUAACUCACAAAAGCAUGGAAGUUAAAAUAAUAUUUUAGAAUAAAAAUAAGUUAAAAUAAUAUUUAUAACGUGAAUGCCACAUGACUAGAAACACAUGUAUAUUGUGUUUUAAACCAUGGUUAAUAAAAUCAAUAGAGAUAGAAUAUACCAGAUGAUUGCUGUAAAAUACUAGAUAAAAAUUAAAUUUUGCUCAUUUAGUAUUAAUAUCAAGAAGAAAUGUUGUGAAUCAAUUUCAGUAAGUUGAACUAAUAAAUGUAUUUUCUAAUGAUCCAAUAAAGAACAUGAGAUUGUAAUAGCAUUUAUCUAAAUGAUCAAAUAUUUUAUAUUGUUCUCUACUUUAAUAGUUUUUUGUCUAGUCUAUUCUUGUGCCUUACUAAAAGGUGUUCAGCAUAUAAUAAAAUCCUAAACUCCUUGAAGUGUAAUAGGAAGUGAAUCUUUAUGAGUAAAAAUCAGAGCUAUGGAAUCAUCUGGAAAGGCAGACAUUUCUGAGGAUUGGUUUAAAAUGAGAUGCUGGCUGUGUUACUUUUUAGUAUUAUCGCAUAAACAAAUAUCGGAAGAAGAAGAUGCAUAUUACAGUCUGAUACUCUUAAUUUCAGGAGUUAAGUGAUCAGUGAUUUUUGAAAAAUUAUAUGGAGUGUUACUAUUAUAAUGACCUGUAGAUGGAGUUAGUGCACAGUGUUUUAUUACAGAGUUGUUCAUGUGGAAUCAAAAGCAGGUUCAGUAACUGACAUUUCUCUUCAAAAAUGAGUAUUCAGUCUAGGGCAUUCUGUGUUGUUAUUAGUAUUUAUUCACUCCCAAAGUCAUCUUAGUUCCUCUCCUGAGUUCUGUGGCAGUUGUAAUUUAAAUAGGAAAUUAGAUGUAAGGUUGAAGAUGAGCCUGAUUACAAAAUCACAGUAAAGAAAGAUUCCCAUUCCAAAUGGAAUAACAGGGCUGGUUUUGUUUGGGAAGGGGCUGAUCUCUUUGGUAUUUGCAUUCCAAUUCAAACAAUUGCUGACAGCAAGAUUCAUAAGCUUAAACAAUUUCUUGUGUUUUACAUAAGCUGUGGAAACACACCACACGCACAGAUAAAGGUAACAGAUACCCGGGAUUCUGAGGGCUGUGUUAGCAGUCUAAUCACCUUCUGUUGUUUCUCUAACUUAUCAUCUUUUCUUUCCUAAUUUCACUGCUUCCCCCCUAAGAGUUUUCUCUAUGGAGAGUUUCCUGAAUCCCUAGAUGUGUUCACAUCUCUUUGUCUUUAUCAACACGACCUUCCAGUGUCCUUGAAAGAUGAUGGAUGGUAUUUGUUUUUGUGACAUUGAAUUUUUACAAGUAUUUACUUUCUGAAAGCCGAUCUUGCUUUUACCUUACUACUGUCAUCUGCCAAUGAGACACGCAGGAAGUCACAAACUCACUGAGAACUUGAUUUAAGAAAUAAAAUAAAACAACAAGGUGUUUAAUUUUGCCAAAUGAGAAUAAGCUCUUAAUCUGUGUGACAUGAAUGGAUUAAUGUUUAAUUUAAUGAAAUGAAAAAUGGUCUUGUGGAAAUAAAUUCCAUAUAUUUAGUGCCAUAGAGAAAUUUUACGUAUAACUAUCAAGUUAAAACUUUAUCAGAAAAGCAGUCUUUGAAAGUAUAUACAACUCAGUUAAUGUCCAUACAGUUAGGAUAGGCAUUCAAACAGAAGCAGUGAAGAGUCACAUUAAAGUUUAUACUUUCAGUAUUGAAUAUCUUUUAUGCAUUUAUCCAUGAAAGAAUCAGUACUAGAAAAAUAAAUUAACUUUGCAUCUUUAAAGUGGCCAUUAUUUACAUUCAGUCCUUCCUUAGUCCCUUCUAUUGACUGUGGUUAAUUUGGUGUAUGGUGUGUUAUAUAUCUGCAAGUUUUAAAUAAAAUUUUAUAAAAUU
rnacentral:lncRNA from 1 species